CUGGGCUCUGUGCUGGUUUGCACAUGAGGAGCAGCACAGCAGCUGUACUCUACAGCACUAGGUGACCAAACACACACACCUUAAAAUCUACACGAUGAUGUAAAUGCAUGGUAUAUGCUGCACAGGAAGACCUUGAACUAUUAGUUUUCCUCUCUGUGCUUUCUCCUCUGAAUGCCACCCCAAGGAGCUUUUUUAUCUGGAUCAUAAGGAAAUGGAAGUGGAAAAUAAAACCAGAAGGAUGUUCCUGGUCCCAAACUAAACUGGAAUUGUCAGGAACUCGUCAACAUAAAGACUAGGAUCAUAUUUUUGGUGAGUCACUGUAUUUAAAUAUCUUUUCUUCCUGGAUUUUUAAGUAGAAUUUGUCUUUCACUAAGUGAAAUGGAUUUGUAUGAGAUUCCAAAAAUGAGGCUCAAACUUUUUUUAUCCCAGCUAUGUACUUGUUUAAAAAAAAAAUAAAUUAAUAUACUUGUCACA
rnacentral:lncRNA from 1 species